GGCCUGUGGUGAAGCAGAGCAUCUUAGUGGGAGCAUGUGGAGAAAGAACUCACCUCAUGGAGACAGUGAGAUGGACAAGAAGCAGUCCGACCUUUACAACACCUUCGACAUUCCCUUAAAGGGCAUGCCCUCAAAGGACUUCACUUCCAGUAGGCCCUGCUUCCCAAGGAGUUUACCUCCCAACAUGCUAGGAGCUGGACCAAGCCUUUAGACACAUGAGCCAUGGAAACCAUUGCAAGUUUCUAGGAGAACCAACCAUGUUACGGAGUACUUCGUGGGGAGCCUGGGACACACUGAGCAUUGUGUUGUUGGUGUGAAACUCUUGUUCCAGUGCGGCCAAGUGAGAUGCUGUUACCUCACAUGUGAAAAGCCACAUGAUCUGUAAGGCCUUCAGGACCCCAAAACUCUCAGAAUGGGCUUAAGGCUGUUCUGGAACUAGCUACAAGUGAGUGAGCUACACCCUGAACCCGUCCCCAAAGCAAGGGCUUCUUGGGACUAACCAGGAGAUUACCACCCAGGCUGCAAGCAGGGAUGCUUCCUUCCGUGAAAGCAACAGAGGGACUCAGAAGUCCA